rnacentral:rRNA from 1 species
CGCGGCCUAUCAGCUUGUUGGUGAGGUAACGGCUCACCAAGGCGACGACGGGUAGCCGGCCUGAGAGGGCGACCGGCCACACUGGGACUGAGACACGGCCCAGACUCCUACGGGAGGCAGCAGUGGGGAAUAUUGCGCAAUGGGCGAAAGCCUGACGCAGCAACGCCGCGUGAGGGAUGAAUGCCUUCGGGUUGUAAACCUCUUUCAGCAGGGACGAAGCGAAAGUGACGGUACCUGCAGAAGAAGCGCCGGCUAACUACGUGCCAGCAGCCGCGGUAAUACGUAGGGCGCAAGCGUUGUCCGGAAUUAUUGGGCGUAAAGAGCUCGUAGGUGGUUUGUUACGUCCGCUGUGAAAACCUAGGGCUUAACCCUGGGCCUGCAGUGGAUACGGGCAGACUAGAGGUAGGUAGGGGAGAAUGGAAUUCCCGGUGUAGCGGUGAAAUGCGCAGAUAUCGGGAGGAACACCGGUGGCGAAGGCGGUUCUCUGGGCCUUACCUGACACUGAGGAGCGAAAGCGUGGGGAGCGAACAGGAUUAGAUACCCUGGUAGUCCACGCCGUAAACGUUGGGCGCUAGGUGUGGGGUCCUUCCACGGACUCCGUGCCGCAGCUAACGCAUUAAGCGCCCCGCCUGGGGAG